AUAGUUUUAGGCGAUGGAGUUCGCCUUAAAUCUGCAGCAAGCAGUGAUGACUCCUACCAAAAA
rnacentral:ncRNA from 1 species